CCCAGCCCGCACACUCCCUGCUGCCGGGUCAACAGCGUUCUCUUUGUGUGUGAAGGACGGCUUACUGCUUCUGAUGACUCACAGGCAGGGAGUAGGAGGGAGAAAGUCUGAACACUGGCUAGAAGCGGCCCUUCUGCUCCCACAGGCACAGCCACAGUACAGCACGGAACAAAUGAUUCAAACUCUGCUCCACAGCCUUCACCUGUGAACCCCGAUGUGUGCGGUGGAAACCGCUCCAAUGCUACCCGCCCUCGUAUCUCAGGUAAAAAUCAAAGAUGCAGGAAGUCUGACUACUUUUACGGGGGAAAGCACUCUCCCAAAAUGAUAAGAAGAACAGAAGAAAACAAAAACCAAGAUAUUUUUAAUGGACAGUUAAGCCAUAGGAUAAAGCUCUGCUCUUGGAAGCUGGCAUGGCGCCUGGUGGGUUUGAAACCACAAAGGGGUUAAUGAGAAAUCUUCCAGUCUAUCACAAUCUGGAGAGGAUUAGGACCGUCUAGACACACACACUCACUCUCUCUCUCACACACACACACAAAAAUACACACGCACACACAAAUACACACGCACACAAAUACACACACAAACACACACACACAAAUACACAUACACACAAAUACACACACACUCACUCACACACACACUCACUCACACACACAAAUACACACACACACAAAUACACACACACAAAUACACACACAAAUAUACACACAUAAAUACACACACAAAUACACACACACUCACUCACACACACAAAUACACACACACACAAAUACACACACACAAAUACAUACACACACACACACACACACACACACAGGCCACAAUGAAUACACAUCUGUGAUUCCAGCUAUGGGAAGGGCAGAGAGAGGCAGAGAGAGAGGCAGAGAGAGAGAGAGAGAGAGAGAGAGAGAGAGAGAGAGAGAGAGAGAUGUGUUGAGCUUCACCCAGGCUUCAGAGAGAGCUGAAGGGUAGCCUGGGUACAUCAGUGAGAUCACAGUCUCAAAAGGCACUAACCAGCCUGGGGCUCUAGCUGAGUGGCAUGGUGCUCGUGCCCUAGGAACUAGGUAUUGUCCCAGUAACACAAACAAGUAAGUAAAUGAAUGAGGAUAAACGGACAGGAACUGAGCUUGCUGGGCCAUGAGCUGUCCCUCAUGCAGCUCCUCUGUGGAUACACACACCCGGAUAGUAAGGGGGCAGGGAUAAGAGAGCUCCAGGCUGGGCCUUGCAAGCCCAGGGUAGGAGGCUGGGUGUGACUUAGUUAAAACUUACAGGGUGAUGUCGCAGAGCAUGGCGCUGUCCCUGUAUCAGGGUGAGCGGUGUCUUGGAGGCUCCGAUCAGGAAGUCCUCUCUACCCUGUGGCAGAGUGCCAACACCGCCAGCGGGUAAUGUGUCCGUGGUGGUCUUUGGAGUCUGUCUAGUGGUACAUCUGAUAACAGCAGAAGAAUCCACUUCAGUGUAGAGGGAAUUCUAAGUGUAGAUUUUCUACUUCAUUGAUAGAAACUGGGCUAUUUGUCACGAAAAUUUUAAAUUUAAGUAAAGAAUAUAAGUAGAGUUAUGCUAGCAAAAGCAAAAUUUGAAUUUGAGACUUUAAAUAGAAGAAGGUUUAUAUUUUCUCCCUUUCUUUCAUUUUUAUUUUUGGUUUUCUGAGACAAGUUCUAACUAUGUAGGCUCAAACUCAUGGUCCUCCUGCUUCAACCUUUAUGUGCACUUUUUCUGGUCUUGAAACACAGCUUUACUGUGUAGCCCAGACUGGCCUAAAAUCUGUAAUCCUCCUGCCUCAGCCUCCUGAGUGCUGGGAUUAUAGAAAUGCACCAAUGUGACAUUCCUUCCGGUCUUGAUUAACUAUUUCACUCCCUAUAAUACCCUGUAAAUUUUCAAAAAGGAAGGUAUCAAAGGCUUCUCAUUCUUAGGAAGUCUGUCGAGGGGCUUGGGGAAGCUGGAGUCCACUGUCACACUUCUGCUUUCUCUAUGGCCACACAGACAUUUAAGGAGACAUCAGUUAAUGCCUUACAGAGUCUAGCAGAACGUUCAGUGGCUGCCUCUGCUGCCUCGCUCUGAUCUCACCAACAGGGAGCUAUGUGUGAAGGAACAGGAUGUGUCCAGAUGCUGGGGGCUGGGUGUUUCACUUUCAGUUUGGGGGAGAGUCUGUUGCUUGGCUGUGAGAACAUUCUCGCCCUGACAGUAGCUGUGGCCACCUUUUGCUUGAGCAGCGCAGACAACUGGUUCUUAUCAGAUGGGAGUGUGAAGACGACUCUGAGCUCUGAGCUCUCGGAAUUUCAAAGAAGGCACUUUGUAAGUCAAACUCAACUAACUUCAUUAUCCUGUGAUGCAGGCUCCUCCAAAUGGCCGCAGAAACGUACUACUGUCUACAGAUCCCACAGCAGGAGUGAGAUUCGGAGUUCUACAGUGGUAAGGGCAAAGCAGUGUGAUUUUAAAUAAAAAUACUAUCAUGAUUGUGCAUUAAGAUGGGUCUGCUAUGUCUGCUGUUGCUUGCUAUGUUACUUUAUUUAUUUAUGUUUUCUUUUUUUUGGAGCUGGGGACUGAACCCAGGGCCUUGCGCUUGCUAGGCAAGCGCUCUACCACUGAGCUAAAUCCCCAACCCCGCUAUGUUACUUUAACACAAAAAUUGUAUUGGUUUCUUUGUGAAACAAUGCUUCAAAACAGGACAUUUUGUGUAUAACAUUUCAGAUCUGUGAUUAGGCUUGUGGGUAGCACCGUGGUAGCAUCCCAAUGUUCUGGGUUUAGUGUCCAGCACAAAAAGAGAACAGUAGAUGGAGAAACUGUCUUAUGUUCAUGCACAAAGAUAUCAGUUGUUGAAAAUCGAGAACUAAUCAAAAAACUUUACAGAACUACAACAACCAAAUUAACACUGGAGAGGAGAGAGGUUCAUGGAAGAUUCUGGAAAGGUGGGCUUCCGGGGGUGGUAGGUAGCAUCAAUCACCAUAUUUCAGUCAUACAAGAUAGAGAUACAUGAAAAAAAAUGGUGACAGCUAGACUUGGGAAUUUCAGGUGCCAGCCAGCAUGGUCCCCAAAGGCUCUACCCACAUGCCACUUCCCCUCUGGAACCCCGCCGAACACUGCCACCUCCAACUGGAACUUCUUUUCCCAGUGCUACUGCACUUUGACUUCUUACAGAAGUACAAGUGUGCUGUUUGUAGAUAUUUCUGCGAUUGCAGCUCUCCCUUCUAGCUGUCUUCACGGUUCUCCAAGGCACUGGAGAACCCCUUCGUCUUUACAAACCCUCCCUCCUACUCCCUCCCUCCCACUCCACAGCUUCCCACAAACUCCUUAUUCCACUGCUCAGCGCUGACGGACAGAUGCAGCCAGCAGAUCCGUGCAUUUUCUAAGACCGCCCAGGCCCCACUGACGUUACUUCCUAAUACCUUAACAGUUCAGUUAACACGCGGCCGCUGAGCCCACCAAUGCCCAUGGACUGGGCUAGGAAUCAGGAUGCAAAUAUACGGUUCUUCUUUGUUUUGUUUUGUUUUUUGAGACAGGGUUUCUCUGUGUAGCCCUGGCUGUCCUAGAACUUACUCUGUAGACCAGGCUGGCCUCGAACUCAGAGAUCCACCUGCCUCUGCCCCCUGAGUGCUGGGAUUAAAGAUGUGCACCACCAAAUCAAAUGUAAGGAUGAACAAUGGAACCAGAGUCUGACAAAGACUGUGUGUGUGUGUGUGUGUGUGUGUGUGUACCCGUGCGUGCGUGCGUGCGUGCGUGGGUGCGUGCCAGGGGCAGCCAUGAAUAAGCCCCAAGCGGAAGAGAGUCUGAAUAAUGCUGGGCCUCGAGCAUUCUAGACACGUGUUCUGCAGUGUGACAAGUGCUGCCUGUCGUCCAACUGCUGAGGCACACAGAGGACAAGUGACUGUGUGAGCUAAUUAAAAAGAGUCUCACCAAUCUUCCCGGCUGCCCUUGGUCCAUUCCCUGCCCUAGCCUCUUGAGUAGCUGGGAUCCCAGGUGUGCACCAUCACGCCCCACGGAAGGACAAUUUUUGAUGUUCUGUUGCUCAAAAGGGUAAAGUAACUAUGGGUGACAAAAAUGAACACUUCAAAUUAGCUAGUAGAGGAUUCUGAAUAGUCCCAUCACAGAGGUAACAAGUAUCUGAGGUGACAGGUACGACGAUGACACUGAGCUGACCAUUAUAUGUUGUGUGCUAUUCUAUAACGUCACACAGUAUUUCAUACAGGCAUUGCGUGUUAAUAAAUAAUAAAUAAAUAAGGGUUAAAAUGCAACAGGAGGAAGAACUGGGGUAAUAAGUAUGCCUUUUCUGUAUAACUAAGAUAAAGUUUCACAUUUCUGUGGCUUUAUAUUUUUAAUAUUUUAACAUUAUGGGCUUAUUACUUUCAUAAUCAGAAAAUAAUAAGGAUUAUAUUAAACUAAAAACAAUAAUAUGGGAUUAAUCCAGGACAGAAAAGUAUAGAGCCACUUUAAAAAUCAGCAUUGUACUGGGCAUGGUGGCACACACCUUUAGUCCCAGCACCCAGGAGGGCAAGGCAGAGAAAGGUGGCUCUCUGUGAAUUUGAGGCUAGCCUGCUCUAUGUUGUGAUUUCCAGGAGAGCCAAGGCUAUGUAAAGAGACCCUGUCUCAACCCGCCCCCCGAACAUCACUGCAGAUGUUCAGCCCACCAAACUUAUUGGCCAGAAGAAGCUUGUCAUCCUAAACGAUUCCUUCUCCUCUCACUCCAGUUCAGUCACCAACAUGUCUCAGUCAUUUCCCAUGAUUGCUGCUGUGAUGGGCUGACCGUUUGUGUCCCUCAGAGCUCCUAUGUUGAAGCUCUAACCUGCUCCAUUUGGAGAUGUGGCCUUUGAGGAAGUAAUGAAGGUUAAAUGAGCUUAUGGACACGGCCCUGAUUGGAUAAGAUUAGACUCUUUAUAAAAGUCACAGCAAAGAGAAGAACGUGAAGGUACAGCGAGCAGGGCCACAGCUAUCACCACAGCACACACUGCACACCACACCAGGAUCUGGAGCCUGAGACAGAGGCUGGUGAGUUGGGAGCUGGAGUACACAGUAAUACCUUGCUUUUUAAAAUAGCCAGAACAUUCCCAACGCCCCCAAACGAAAUAAACCGCCAAUCAGACAAGAAAGGUAACAAGAUAGACACACACAUAUGGACCAAGAACGUAUUAGAACCCAAUCUCGACAGCACCCUGACCUCGGGCCUCAGCCUCCAUAGCUGUGAGAACACAGGGCUCUUCAGGGUAAGCCACCAUGUGUGGUAUUUGUCAUGGCUAACCAACCAAUUAGCAUCCCCCCACCCCGCCCCAUGUUCUACCACUGUCCAAGAGAGACCUGUUCCUUCCUCUGAGCUGGCCCUUACUCGUCCUCCCAUCUCUGGGAGUUAGAGCAAGACUACAGAACUCUUGUGCUACCGACGGCUGUGCAAACUUCAACAAGCUGCUUCACCUCUCUGUGUCACUGACAACAGGAUUGUUCCAGCCCGGUAAAGUAUUUACCACAGUACCUUACACACUAGAAGCAUUUGAUGAAGGUUAGCUAUUACUAUCUUUUUUUAAAAAUAUUUAUUUAUUUUAUGUGUAAGUACACUAUAACUGUCUUCAGACACACCAGAAGAGGGCAUCAGAUCUCAUUACAGGUGAUUGUGAGCCACCAUGUGGUUGCUGGGAUUUGAACUCAGGACCUCGGGAAGAGCAGUCAGUGCUCUUAACCGCUGAGCCAUCUCUCCAGCCCCCAGCUAUUACUAUCUUAAAAUACUUUUGAGAUCUUAUUUUUAUUUUAUGUGUACGGUGUUUUGCCUGCCAGUACGGCUGGGCAUCGCAAGCAUACAGUGCCUGAGACCAGAAGAGGUGUCUGAGCUUCUGGAACUGGAGUUGCAGAUGGUCGUGAGCCACCAUGUGGGUGCUGGGAAUUGAACCUGGGUCCUCUGGAAGAGCAGGUGGUGCUCUUAACCUCAGCUAUUACUGUUACAUUAUCAGGUUAAGCUUAGACCACUCAUGGCAUUUCCAUGACUGAACACCCAAAUAAUCUCCCCGCUGCAGAAGGACAAACCGUCAGCAUGACCCGAAGGCUCCAAAUGUACCUUCAAAUCACACUAUGGGAACCCAACCCCUCUCCCCACCCCACCCUCCCCCACCCCUCCACACACUGUUAUCCCCUUGGCUCCCAUGCCAGGCUUGCCCUCUGCUUCUGCUGGCCGGCUCCUGUCGCUAUCCUAGGUUCCACCCACUCAUCCCUUUCCUAAGGGGCCUCUGACUGCCUCAGCUUGGCUUCGCUGCUCUUUUCCUGCAGUGUGCAAACAUGUAUAACUCUCACCCACCAUGUUACUAAAGUAACCUGUUUCUGUUCCCACUAGACAGAAACUCUUCAAGGUCAAGGGCCCAGUCUUCAUCUUCUGUUUUUAAUUCGGUGUAAAUCCAGUAGACAUCAGAAAAUGCGGGGCACAGAAUGGAAAUGAACUCUUGCUAUGGCUUGAAUAUGGGAUCUUUCCCACGGGCUCAUACGUUCAAGCACAUGGCCUCCGACUGACAGCGGGGGCCUCAUUGAUGGAUGGAGGAUACUGGAGACAGGCUUCUGAAGGAUGCAGUGUGGACCUCUUGGUCUAGUUCUUUAUUUCUUGGUUGGUCAAGACAGGAGCAGGCUCCUCCGUGCCAGCCUGUUUUCCCCGUCUGGUGCUCACCUGUGAGUCAGGACAAGUCUCUCCUCCUGUGAGUUGCUUUGACUGGUAUUUUGUCACAGUGACAAGAGAGGUAACUAGCACGACUCUGGGACCUAGACACCUUCCCACAGGAAGCAGUGCAAAUCACUACUGCCUCACAUCACCCUUUAAUUCGCUGAUGGAGGAGCCCAGCCGCGUGGCUCAGGGCAGACAGGCACUGCUGUCAAGCCUUAGGAUUUUGAUUUCUGGAUCCCAUGUAAUGGAAGGAAAGAAUCAACUCCCACAGGUUGCCCUCUAACCUCCCAACAUGUAUGCAUGUGAGUGCCCCCCCACCACACACACACACACACACACACACACACAAAUACAACUAAAAACCACACAGACUGCCGUAGCCUCUUCCUGAAGCACGGGUGUCCUGUCUUACACACUCUAUGCUUCUCACUACAGGAGAAGGUCUACCCUGUCACCCUGUGCUCUGAGCCUGAGUUCUCCGAUGUCCCCAAACUCUGGCCACACAGCUCAGCUUGUUGCCUUUGUAUAUAGCUCCUUCUGCCAGGAAUGUCUUCUCCCUUGCCCUGAGAAAUCCUCAGUCAUUGUAAACGUCCUGUUCCUGAGUCACUGUGCUCCAAGCCCUUCUAGGUCACGCUCUGGGAGAACGAGCUGCUUGGCCCUGUGCUGGCACACGCUGUCACUCCGACAGCACAGCGCCUGCUAAGUUAUUAUCCUCUGUCCUACCCGUGAGAGUCCAACAGCAAGGGCUGAGUCUUGCUUAGCUUCGGAUCUCACGGAACCUGGCACUAUGGGCAGGAUAUUACUAAGACCUCGCUAUGUUUGUACUCUUAGCAUCAAUUAGUCUACAGAGCGGCUAAAGGAGGUGAGAAUCGGUUGUGUACCACACCACCACACUAAGAAGGUGGGUUGUGUUAUACCCGACUACGCAUCAGGAUCCAUCUUUAUUUUAAAAGAAUAGAAAACGCCAGAGUCACAGUUUUUGCUUGUGUGUGUGUGUGUGUGUGUGUGUGUGUGUGUGUGUGUGUGUACAGGUUGGAACAAUGCGGGUGAUUUGUGGGUUAGCACAGUCCAUUACUAGGGUCCUGCUAUGUAGCUAGGCUUGUGUUACAGUUCUCCUUCUUCUUGCCUCAGCUUUCUAAUGUUGGCUCAACUAUCAUUCCUGCCUACAGGCAAUAAAUAGUUAUUUACAGCCUUGUCAACCACAGAACAAAACAACAACAACAACAACAACAACAACAACAGCCCAGAAAAUGGAAGGAAUCAAAACCAAACCAACCAACCACUCUUAAGUAAAAGGCGACCUUGUAUAUUAAGGAAGAAGAAAGACGUCAAGCUGGCUAUUGGUCUUUCCACUCAAGGUCUUACUUGUUUCUGAUGUAAAGACAGGGGGAAAAGCCUUCCUACAAAUCCACUCCUUCAUUUCGCGUGGAUUUCGUCUUUUUUUUCCUGUGAAAAUAAAGAGCUACUGUUUUAGAACUUGCCACAGGGCAGUCCUGUGAUGGUGUCAGAAGCUGGACACUUAGUAGGGCUGAUAAAGGGAAACAGGCUGUGCUUCAUCAGCCCGCCGACCCCUGCCUCCCCGCUCGACCCUUUUUCCUAUGUAGAUGAUGUGAAGAAGACGGACUGUUUCGGAAAUCCCGCUGUGACCGGCAGACCCCACAGGUGGUUUGGACUCGGGUUAGGCACCAGCUUUUGCCUUUUUUUUUUUAAAUCAGUUCAUCCAUUGAAUCCAUGUUUGACUCCAUGAGAGGAGUGAGCAAUCAACAGCAUACAAUCACAUUAAUGGCUGACAUCCAUUCAGCCACACAGACUUAUUGAGCAUCUUCUACAUGCCAGGGAAUGGCACUCACUCCACGGCAGCAGAGUUUAAUUAUCUCUAUCAGACUGUUUCCCUAGAAUAGCAUUCUUGGGAGACAAUGCUGGCACCGUGCUUUAUGCACAGGAGACCUUCAGUAACCUUUAAUAACUGGAGAAGACUGGAGACGAGAAUGGCAGGGAGAGGGCGAGGCACAGUGCUGAGGAGCCUGGGGCGCUUCCAACACGCUGACAGUGUCUGACGGUGGUCUUUGCCCGUUGCUGGGAUUGUCCCAUGUGGCUAAUUGAUCGGCCAUCGAAACCCACACACCUCCUCCCUGGAGAUCACUGGCUGACUCAGAUUCCUGGUCCAGGAAGAAAGCUUUCCCUGUGGAGGGCUGGGAUGCAGCUCAGGCCCCACAGUGCCUUCCUGGGUUCCACAGUGCUCCUGGCCCCCAUCUUUCUUAGUUUCCUGGUCCCGAGAUGGAACCCAGAGCCCUGCGCAGGCAUUUUGCCACUGAGCCAUAGCCCCGGCCCUACGUUGAUUAAUGCUUGAUUCUUUUUCUUUUCAGACGGGCAGAAGAGGAACAUCAUCACGGACGUCUCGUGGGUUCUUAUUUGUUAGAAUACGAGAUGGCUGAGCAGAACACAUUCUGCCUCGCACAAGGGUUGGGGGUGAUGUGGGCUUCGAGCUUCUAGGUGCUGCCUUUGCAUCCUGGUUGGGAGGAAGCCAUUCCAGGUCACUUUCACAGUGUUGAUGGUCACCUCAUGCUACACCUACAGGGCUACAGCUGUGUCAGAGACCAUAUGACUCACAGGGCUGGAAGUGAUUCUCAUCUGACCCUUUUUAGAGAGUGUGCUAUUCUUGGAGAGUAGGAGCCACAUCUUAGAGAGUAGGAGCCACACUGCCCGCAGCAGAGGUCAGACAUAGGCGUGAGAGGAGCUGGUCGGCUACAAUGGGCAUGGGAGUUCCCAGACAGAACCCUUGCUUUGACAGAAGGUCACAGUAAUCAGUGAAGAGGGGAGACACCUACAGGCAAAGUCAGGUUCUUCUAUGAGAAGUUCUUGAGUCUGUCAGUGUCUUAACAAGUGCUCAGACAUUUAAAUUUCUUACCCACUUUCAAGGCCUGUAAAGGGGAUCAGGGAUUGGGAGUGGGAAACAUAACCAAUAAGGAAAGUGGGGUGUCUCAGAAGUAAGGACUCUUGCUAAACUAGCGAGUCUCCAUGGUAGGAGCUGGACACACCAAAAGACACGGGAAAGCUACAGCAUCUUGCUUUACUGGGAAUGAAGCAACCUACCUUGUUUUUGACUCUGCAAAGCUUUACAGUUUUAAAAUUGUAUUUUACAUUACAUUAAAAUGAAGAUCAGGGGUUGGGGAUUUAGCUCAGUGGUAGAGCGCUUGCCUAGCAAGCGCAAGGCCCUGGGUUCGGUCCCCAGCUCCAAAAAAAAAAGAAAAAAAAAAAAAAGAUCAAUUUUGACACAAUCUAAGUGGAAAAAAAAAAGUGGUGGCCUUUAAUCCCAGCACUCGAGGGGCAGAAGCAGGCAGAUCUCUUGAGUUUGAGGCUAGUGAGUUCCAGGACAGCCAGGGCUACACAGAGAAAUCUUGCCUCAAACAAGAAAGAAAGAAAGAAAGAAAGAAAGAAAGAGAGAGAGAGAGAGAGAGAGAGAGAGAGAGAGAGAGAGAGAGAGAAAGAAAGAAAGAAAGAAAGAAAGAAAGAGAGAGGGGGGGAGGGAGGAAGAAAGAAAGAAAGGAAGGAAGGAAGGAAGGAGGAAAGGAGGGAGGGAGGAAAAAAAGAAACAAAUAACUAAAGCCAGCCAGCCAGCUCCUGGGUCCAAGAGGUGGCCCAGCAGUGAAGAGCACUGGCAGCUCCGCAGAGGACCCAGGCUCAGUUCCCAGCACCCACGUGGAGGCUCACAACCAUGUGAAACUCCAGUCCAAGGGGAUCUGAAAAACUUCUGUGAACUCCAUGGGUACUUAGCAAUACACACACACACACACACACACACACACACACACACACGCAUGCAGGGUAAACACCUGUGGACAUUAAAUUAAAUGAGAAUUACCUCAUUAGUGCAGGUCUGCACCAUUGUCAUUGUCAAUGCUAUAUUGUCAUUCUCUAGCUACUUAACUUGUCACUCGAAUUUAGAUGCUUCACCUUGAGCCGUCUUUACUGUCCCACAGAAUAUCCAGACCUAUCUCUCUCCAUAGAAACCCAAUGACACCCUCCUUGACUAAACCCUUCAGUAAAUUUUCAUUUUGAAAAAAUAAACCCCAAACAAAUCCAAUACCCCUCCCUAAAUCCCAGGCCUUAGGCAUGACCCAUCAGCAUGCCCUGAGCCCUUCUCUCAUGCUAUUCCUGGACAACUGUCCCAGCCAUACCAGCCCCCUACUCUCCUGUGACCUGACAAAUGCUCCUUUGCCUGGGGACCUCUGCACUUGUUCUCUCUAACGUGAACCCUUUCCAUCCAGGCCAAAGGUUACCCCAAGUGCUUCUGGCGUUAUCCUGGCACUCAGAUAUGGUUCACAGGACUUUUCAGUAACAGAAGUGGCCUCCAUGGGUCUUGUGGCCUCCCCUUCAGCUCCUACCCUGAACACUCUCUUUUCACUGUGUGUUUCAGACCUCGGAAGGUGCCUGGACUGGAGACACUCAAGGAAUGCAUUUGCCGACUCGCUCUGCCACGUUUCAUGUACCUGUGUAAUUAAGUACUGACGUUUCUACGGGCAUUUACUAUUUUAAUAAAAUAUUUCUAUUUUGGAAAGCUUUUUAUCAACUGGAUAGCUUCUAAAAAUGUUUCCAACACAGACAAGUUUCUCUGGCAACAGGUAUUGGUAAACAGAGCAAACGCUCCCACAAGUAAAAGGCAAUGUAUUGUUGGAAGUUUAAAUCCAGUCUCUCCUUAUCUUAAACUCAUUUAGUUUUACUUCAUGUGCAUUGGUGUUUGCCUGCAUGUAUGUGUAUAGAGGGUGUCGAUUCUCCUAGAACUGGAGUUACAGAUGACUAUGAAUGCCAUGUGAGUGCUGGGAACUGAACGUGGGUGCUCUGGGAGAGCAUGCACCAUUCCACUCCAGCCCCAGAGGCAAAUGCUGUGCUGGGUCUCUCCAACCUUCCCACGCCUCUCCCCUCUGUGCAAGAGCAGAGCCUCUCACAGCUGCCUCCUCAUCCACUUACCUUCAGAGCCUGCUCCAACCCAACACCAGCUCUCAGCAGUCUCCCUCUAACACUGCUUUUAUGACGCUCAGCAGGGACAUCUGUGCUGCCAAAUCCAGAGGCUGAUUCCUGUCACCUCAGUCAAAUCACAGAAGCUAACCCAUGUGCUUUGUGAUUUCCUCCCAGAAACAUGUAAUUUUUCAGAGCCCCUAAAUCUGAGGCCAGCUCUUGUGUGGAUCUCCACGUGGUAAGAAUGUUAACAGGAGCUGAGUUCAGUUCCUCCCCUAUCUUGUAAUGCUCUUGGGGCAGAAACAGGGCAGUUCUGCCUAUUUUAAACGAGAGCUGUCCUUUGUGACCCACUUAUGCUUAUUUCUUUGUAAAAACAAUAAACCAAAUCGGUAUUAGUAUCCAGGAAACCACAGCCCUGUGACCUUGAUAAUAUAAUGAUUAACAAGGGAUUUUCCCAUCUUACAUUGUAACAUUUUUAUCUGGGUCAUGGCUGCCGAGAACAGACGUUUAGCUGAGCCACUAAGUUCUGACUAAGGACAGCAGUUGAAAUACCAUGUGAUACCUUCCCCCAAGCCUGUCUCUAUCCAGGUACCUGAAAUGCAAAUCCUACCAUCUCUAGAAAGAGCUUGAAGCCAAGGGCAGUGUAGCAAGCAGUAAGACAGAAAGGUCCCUGACAUUAUGGGAUACAGUAACAAGCUUAUAUCACACCAAACCCAGUCUUAUGUGAUCAAAGAAACAAAUGUCCAGCUUGGUAAGCCAAUGGGAGCUACGAUUUUCUGCCAUCCAGAACUGAAUCCAUUUCUAAACACUACCUACCUUCCGUGCUCCACUGUGGCAGGUAUGUCACAGAUGUUUAACAACCACAUCAAAGCAGUGUACUUUCAUGGGAUGAACCACUGUCCAGACAGGCAGGCAGGCAGGCAGGCAGGCAGGCAGGCAGGCAGGCAGGCAGGCAGGCAGGCAGGCAGGCAGACAAGAUCAAGUGGCUCCAGUGAGAGGAGAGUUACUAGCACUUAGGUUUUAAAUGGUGCCAUGUCACGGUAUCUGGCCCCAGCCCUGGUUACCUUUUAUUUUGAGUGCGGGAAGCUGAACCUGUGGUCUCAGGAUGUGAGCCCACCUGUGCUCUCCCAGUGAGUUACAUCUCCAGCCCACUCGUGGUUCACAAUGACCAGGGAGAUAUGCUCCAGAAAUGUGGUUGAAACCAAGCCUCUAUUUCUAGUACACACUCCGCACCACCUUAGACUUCAACCCAUCCCCUCUGUCUGGCACUGCCCCAUCUUCCCUCUUUCCUUGUUUUGCGUUUGUUGUUUCUAACUAGGAUAUCAUGCUCCAUUGCCCAAGUUUGCUCCAACUUUCCCAGGCUGGCCUUGAACCCACGAUUCAGCCCAGCAAGUGGUAGAUUACACGCAUGGGCCACCACAGCCAGUUCCUUCCUUCUUUUCAUUUAUACUGAGGUGGAAUGGGGAGAGUACCCUUUAUUUAUGCUCCUGUUAUGCAACACACACCUCUAGGACACCACGGCCAUUAUUUUAGCCUCAAUACAAAAUAACUAGUUUUUAAUUAAAAAUUCUUAGAUUUAGGGUCAAGAGUUCAAACUGAGAAACCCUCCCUUUGGUGGUGGUGGUGGUGGUGGUGGUGGUGGUGGUGGUGGUGGUGGUGGUGGUGGUUGUUGUUUUGAGACAGGGUUUCUCUGUGUAGCCUUGGCCAUCUGGAACUCACUCUGUAGAGGGGCUAGCCUUGAACUCAGAGAUCGGCCUGCCUCUGCCUUCCAAGUGCUGGUACUAACGGUGUGUGCCACCACUGCCCAGCAAAACCUGUUCUUUUAUUUAUAGCUUAACAGGUUUUAGAGAAGGUUAAAUUUUCUGAAUCUCCAUUUCCUCAUUGCUAAGAUAGGGAUAAAGUAAGGCCAGAAGACCAUCCCAGCCGCAUGGUAACACUGUUUACCUUGUACACACUGCAGUGGUUCAGACAGCUAUGAGCUCAUCACCCAAGCCAAAGUUGUGAAUUAGAACCAUCCAGCUUUCUAGAUUGAAUUGUUUAAUUAACUAAUUAUUAUUGGAUGCAUGUGGGUGAUGUGUGUGUUAGGGCAUGCACAUUCCCUGGCUUAUAUGUAGAGAUCAGGGUAGAGUUCUGUGGGGUCAGUUCUCUCCUCUUUUAUGUGAGUUCUAAGAUUGAACUCAAGUUGCCACUCUUGAGCAGCAGGCUCUUUUACCCCUCUGGGAUGGUUGAAAAUUGCUCGGCCCAGGGAGUGGCAUUUUUUAGGAGGUGUGGCCUUGUUGGAGUAGGUGUGGCCCUGUUGGAGUAGGUGUGGCCUUGUUGGAGUAGGUGUGUCACUGUGGGCAUGGACUUUAAGACCCUCAUCCUGGCUGCCUGGAAGCCAGUCUUCUCCUAAGUGCCUUUAGAACAAGAGGUAGAACUCUCAGCUCCUCCAGCCCCAAGUCUGCCUGGACACUGCCAUGCUCCCACCUUGAUGAUAAUGGACCGAACCUCUGAACCUGUAAGCCAGCCCCAAUUAAAUGUUGCCCUUUGUAAGACUUGCCUUGGUCAUGGUGUCUGCUCACAGCAAUGGAAACCCUAAGACACCCUCUCAGUCCUCUUGCUGGCCCAGCCUUCUAAUUUCUUAUUAUAUCAGACUGUUGGAAUCCUUAAAUAAAUUCACACUGUUCUUAGUCAUUUAUUAAAUCAGUGGACUUAUAGCUCCCAGAACGUUCUUUGGGAUGUAGGUAAAUCUUUGCCAUCUUCUUUUUUUUUUUUUUUUUUUUUCGGAGCUGGGGACCGAACCCAGGGCCUUGUGCUUGCUAGGCAAGCGCUCUGCCACUGAGCUAAAUCCCCAGCCCCGUUUGCCAUCUUCUAAUAGAGUUAAUUAUAAUGUUGAUACUAGUAGGCUCUAAACAGACCGGGGAAAAACACUCCAAGACAAAAACCCCAAACCUCUAUUUAUCAUAUAGAGCUAUUAAAGUAUCAGCUCUUACAUCACUCUGCCAAAGAAUGAAAGGACUUCCUUUUAUCUUGAAGAGUGUAGAGAAAUACUAACAGAAAGACAUUUCUGAGGAAAAAACUGAUGAGCGCUAUCGAGAGCCCAGUAGGACAGGAAGGAUGACUAAUCUCUCGGAAAGCAAGAGUGAGAAAAUGUGAGGUUAGUCCCAGACCAGGCAAAGCAAACCAACCGGCAGAGAUUACCAGCUCUGAGCAAACAAAAGGCCCCCGAAAAUCACCAUCAUGUGCUACCAUGUGUGUCUGCCAUUCUAGCCGUUAUAAAUAUUAUUUAACAAACAAAUACUCAUUAAAUGUUUCUCAUGUUCUCAGCACUGGCACAAAAAAGAGGAAACUUUGUAUGAUGUCUAUUAUUACAAGGUAACAACACUAAUUACAAAAUGGACAGUAAGAGACUUAUUUAAAACACACAACAGGGGUUGGGGAUUUAGCUCAGUGGUAGAGCAACAAGGCCCUGGGUUCGGUCCCCAGCUCCAAAAAAAAAGAAAAGAAAAAAAAAAAAAACCCACAACAACACAAAGCAUAACUUCAGACGCGUAUUCAAGCGAAGGCUGUAUAAUUCAUAAAUUAUGAGGAAUGGAGAAGCGAGAGCUAAUAAAAUCAUAUAAUUUAUUUAUCACCAUCGUCACUGUUACUGUCCGCACUACUGCAGCGCUGGGGACCAAUCCUGUGGCCUUGCGCUUGCCGGGGAGUGCUCUACCACUGAGCGAUGGCUCCACACCAGGCUCAGGCUCUGAGGGUCUGGAAGGCAAAACAUCCCUCAGAGAAGAAAGGAAGACAGGCCUGGUGGUGUAAGCCUGCAAUCCCAGUAAUGGGAGCUGUGGCAGGAGAAUGUGAGGUCAACCUGGGCUACAUAGCAAGGCCCUGUCUCGAAAUACAGGAAAGGGAUGCAGCGUAAGGACUAAGACCCAGGAGGCAGGACUGACUGAAAGAGCAUGGCAGUAAACAGCACAAAAAAGAUGGAAGGCACAUGGCUAACAAAACAAACAGGUUAGAGCCGGGACGCAGUGAGGUGUGCUACAAAGCCUUUAGUCCCAUAACUCAAGAGGCAGAGGCCAGCUGGUCUUUGUGUCCAGCCUGUUCUGCACAUCGAGUUCCUGGCCAGCCACAGCUACAUUGUGAGACCCUGUCUGUCAGACAACACCAUGGCCUGCAGAGCGAAGGGGAGCACUGAUGUAAGAACUAGGCACUGAGUGACAAAGACUUUGAGCAUGGCUCCAGCUGUUGAGGAAGAAACACCUUGGGGAGCAGGGGAUGGGGCAGUGGGCAUCUAGACAAAUGACCACAGUGUGCGGCUGUGAGGAUGACCAUGCAGCUAUGAAGUCCGAGUGUGCUAUGAAUACAUCCUGAUAUCCUUUCCCAUUGCAAACAGGAUGCUCUCUGGCCUCUAAAUUCCAAGAGUUUCAAUGAAACUCAAAGAACUGAGAAGGGAGGGGUUGGGGAUUUAGCUCAGUGGUAGAGCGCUUGCCUAGGAAGCGCAAGGCCCUGGGUUCGGUCCCCAGCUCCGAAAAAAAAGAACCAAAAAAAAAAAAAAAAAAAGAA